UCUCUCAGACCCCGGAUGGAACUGCCAUUGGGGGAAGUGGACUGGGCUGCACAAUACUGAGGAGGUUGUUGGAGUAAAAAAAAAAAAGAAAGAAAGAAAAAAGAAAACAGCAAGCGACAUCAACUGUGAAAAGAGAUUGUCUUACAUCGGAAAAACAAUAAACUGUUGGAAUCUGAAAAUACCAUCAUUGCAGUCUCCUCCAAACUGGACUUUGUUAAUCCGUGCGGACUGGAGGAAGAAUUAAAUAGUGGAACUUGUGUUGGGGAUACGUGCUGUGAAAAAAGCACUAGCUACUGAGUGGUGAACGAAACACGGGGCUUGGAAAGACAUUGACUAAGGCUCCACUCCAGUCCAGGGGCUUGCUUAAUGAACUAUGUCUGCCACAAGCAUUGACCCUCAGAGAUCAAAGGGACAAGCUUCGAAAGUGCAAAAUGGUUCUCUCCAUCAGAAGGACACUGUUCAUGACAAUGAUUUUGAACCGUACCUCACUGGCCAGUCUAAUCAGAAUAACAGCUAUCAAUCCAUGACUGACCCGUACAUGUCCAGCUACUACGCCCCUUCCAUUGGGUUCCCCUACCCUCUCAGCGAAGCCCCCUGGUCGACCGGCGGAGACCCCCCUAUCCCUUACCUGACCCCCUAUGCACCCUUGAGCAAUGGAGAUCACCAUUUUAUGCACGACACAGUUUUCGGACAGCCGGGGGGACUGGGGAGCAACAUCUACCCUCACAGGUUUAACUUUUUCCCAGAGAACCCGGCCUUCUCCACCUGGGGCACCAGCGGCUCCCAGGGACAGCAGACUCAGAGCUCGGCCUACGGGGGCAGCUACAGCUACCCGCCCAGCUCCCUGGGGGGCACCCUGGUGGACGGGCAAACGGGCUUUCACAACGACACUUUAAACAAAGCGCCGGGCAUGAACAGCAUUGAGCAAGGCAUGGUGGGACUGAAGAUCGGGGGCGACAUGGCGGGCUCCGGGGUGAAGGCGGUGGGCUCCGUUAUCGGCGGGGCGCUGGCGGGGAACGGCGGGACGCCCAUCGGCAUGCCCCCUCCCAAGCCCACCUCCUGGGCGGCCAUCGCCAGCAAGCCCGCCAAGCUGCAGCUGAAAGCCAAGGUGAAGCCGGGGAUGCCUCUCCCUGGGGGAGCCCUGCCCCCGCCCCCCAUCAAACACAACAUGGACAUCGGCACCUGGGACAACAAGGGGCCCGUGACCAAAGUGCCCCAGUCGCACCCGCAGCUCCCCCACUCCCUGACGCAGCAGCCCCCCCUGCAGGCCCCGCAGUCGCUGCUCCAGCAGGUGGCCUUGCAGCCCCCCCCACACCAGCAGCUGCCUCCACAGCCCUAUCAGAAUCACGCCCCGGCCCCUCCCCCGCAGACCCGCUGGGUGGCCCCCCGCAACCGAAACCCGGGUUACGGCCUGGGCGGCGGGGACGGCUGCGCCUCCCCUUGCGGUGGCGGCCCUGGGGGGCCCCCCGGCUCGGGCGGGCCGGGCCCCGCCGUGGACUCCCACCCCGUCCUGGAGAAGCUGAGGGCCGCUCACAGCUACAACCCAAAGGACUUUGACUGGAACGUGAAGAACGGCCGGGUGUUCAUCAUCAAGAGCUACUCGGAGGACGACAUCCACCGCUCCAUCAAGUACUCCAUCUGGUGCAGCACGGAGCACGGCAACAAGCGGCUGGACGGCGCCUUCCGCACCAUGAACGCCAAGGGCCCCGUGUACCUGCUGUUCAGCGUGAACGGCAGCGGGCACUUCUGCGGCGUGGCCGAGAUGCGCUCGCCCGUGGACUACGGCACCAGCGCCGGCGUCUGGUCGCAGGACAAGUGGAAGGGCAAGUUCGACGUCAACUGGCUCUUCGUCAAGGACGUGCCCAACAGCCAGCUGAGGCACAUCCGCCUGGAGAACAAUGACAACAAGCCCGUCACCAACUCGCGGGACACGCAGGAAGUCCCGCUGGAGAAGGCCAAGCAAGUGCUCAAAAUCAUCGCCACGUACAAGCACACCACCUCCAUCUUCGAUGACUUUUCUCAUUACGAGAAGAGGCAGGAGGAGGAGGAGGUGGUCCGAAAGAGUCAUUAAGCCAUCAGAGAAGAUUUGAACUGCACACACUAUCCAUCCUCAAGAACAUGAAUCAAAAAUGGAAUGCACUGAGUUGGCCGUCAUUUAAAAAUAUAUAUUUCUGUGAAAUAAAUUAUUAAAAUGACAGUUGUAGUUUGCAGAUACCCAUUUUGGAAACCAGGAUUACAGAGACGUGUUUUUGCCCCGUUCUUGAAAUAGAAACAUUACAAAGUGCAGCAUGUAUGCUUGAUGUUGGUCAAGGUUUCAGGCAAAAAGAGUUAACUAGGUAGCUGCUCCAGCAAUGAUUAGCUGAGGUAUUGGUUUCAUCUGAAUGGCUUCCAUCACCCUGCCCUGAAAUAACAAAAAAGGGUUCCCUUUAUUCGUAUGUGAAAUAUCCACAAAAUACUAUAAACUAGCUUGCUACCCGAGGAUAGCCUUGAGAAGGCUUGUUUCAGUUCUGUAGUUUUCUACAUAACCUGUUAGCUAUGCUAGUUCUGUAGGUUCACUGCCGUGUGAUAAACACAAGACACACAAAGCACAUGUUUCCAUUGCCAAUGUUUUGAUAACAACAGUUGCAUAAUCGAUUAGAUGUGAAAAUCUCCGCAAUGUUAGCAAUAGCUUUGUUACUCACUGGGAAUGUUAGCUAGCUUGCUCAGGAGCCACAUUUGACUAAAAAAACAAAACGUGAACUUGGAAAAUAUGAAAUGUAAUGUUGCUUAAUUUGCAUGGGUGGGAUAGAUAAAGUAGAAAUCAUAAUACAAUAAUACUUUCUGGUGUGCCUUGUCAUUUGUGUGGGUUAGAAGAACACAUUUUGUCUAAUCCUUAAAAAUUGGGAAAAAUGACUGCUGCUUUCAUCCCUUCUUUUCCACGUUCACCUUUUGCUUGUCGUCGCACACGAUUUUGCUGAUAUCGCACUGUCUGAUGCAGAUCUGGACUUUUGUGCACCCAAAAUCUGUAUUACUAUCAGACUUUUAUAUCUGUUGUAAAUGCUGGUAUCUGAGUGAAACAUGAUCACCACCAACUAAUGAACAGAAUGCAAAUGAGCCUGUGUGCCGUUGGGUUGCAUGGUGCUGAAUUCUCUGUACAGCUCUACCUGUAUGUCAGCGUGCUAAUUUUGAACAAAAAUAUGUUCUAAAAUAUUUUUGCACCCAUUUGCUAUGGUACAUGAACCCUUCAAAAACUUUUACUGAAACACUUGACCAAUUUGUGUGACUGUUAGCCUGCAAGAUCUGUGAGUAAUUACCUGGUUUAAUGUUUUUGGCAAACAAAAUUACAGAGCAAAUAAAAUUGACAAGAUAGUUGAACGAGUGUUAAACUGUUUGAAUUGAAUGUAACUUGACUGCAUUAGGGAGCUUUCUUUGUGACCUUUUUUUUGUUUUUCUAUCUUGUUGACCAGCCUCUCUAUUGCAUUUUGAACUGAUGAAUCGUCCAUGAGUGAUAGUGAAGAUUUAUACUUGUAUUUUCAUACAUUGUCUGAAUUUCCUUUAGUCUUCUCUGGUACCUGUGUAUGGACAGAAAUGAGUGCAUAACUUGAAUUUGUAUUGAAGUAAUUUCAUUUGUAGUGUUUAAACUGAAUUAUUGUGUUUAAAAAAUUGAAUUUGAAUUGCAGAACUUGAUUUUGUGGUUCAUGAAUUUAAAUCAAAUUAAAUGCUUUUAAAUUGAAUUUGGUCUUCAUAAAAUUCAGUCUUCAGUUGUAAUGUAAGGUUAAAUUCUAGUUCAAUCCUUACAAAUUCAGUUCUUGUAAUUCAAUUUCAAUUUUCUGUAACACAAUUCAAGCUACCAAGAAAAAGCAUGUGAGCAAGCGUUCACUGGAACUGCAAACAGCAAUUAGCCCCUCAGCGGGUGCCAAUAUUUUUCCCAUCAUCCUUUGGUACUGAGGUAAUGCUUGGAGCAGACACUGACAAUGUUUAUCCAUGGACGCCAGAGACCGAAUUCACAGAACUUUGAUCUGGCUCCCAUCCAGAACCGGUCACGACUGGAUCAGGAACGUCAAAAUCGAAGCAAACAAUAGAAGACUCUAUUCUUGGCUUGAUGGACGGUUAUACUUGGACUGAAAUUUGAUUUAAGAGACAAAAGACAAAAUUCAAACAAAUCUUUUUUUUUCUUUCUAUUUAAUCCUGGUGAUUUCAGCCAGUGUGGAGACUUAAGUUUUCUGCUCCAAGUACCUUUUUCUUGCAGGGAUAACAAGCUGGUUUAAGAAUCACAUAGCUGCAGAAUAUUAUUUUCAAUUUGUUCCAUUUUCAGUUUUCAUAGCCAGUUCCCCCUGUCCCCUCUUCCCCCUUUAUUUGAAUCAGGGUUCAACAGCAUAAAUUCAACUUUGCCACUUUUUCUUAUAAGUACAAUCAGAAAUAGAUGUGUUACCCUCUUUUCCCAUUAGGGGGUGCUGUUGAUAUGUAUGGGAUGUAUUAAACCACCAGGUUUAGGAUCCUUGUGGACAUGCAAUGCUAUGACAGGAUGAUGAUCAAUUUUGUUGUACAACUGCUUUUUUUGGCUUAUUACUGUUGUGACAACUUAAAGUCAAUUCAUAAACUAUUUGUACAAUUUUUCUUUUCCUAUCUGGAGCCUUAACAUGUUAAAUAAUGAUGUGAAAUUAACUGAGUAGUCUUUCUAAAGUCAACAGUAAUAAUCAGGGGAAGAGGCUCUCUUAGAUAGCUGCUGCAGUGGAGCAGCCAUUCGCUCUGCUCACAGGAUUGAAGAUGGACAUGUUCUUUCUGUUGGACUAGUUUUGUUCAGCUCUUACUGGUGCAAUUUUUAUUUUGCCCCCCUCCCCCACCUUGUUGUUUAUAUGAUGUGACUUGGAACUGUUUCAUGUUUCCUGUCAGGAACUCUUCAUGUGUUUAAUCCAUUCUGAAGAAAUGUAGCAUUCACUGCUUUUAAGUCAAUGAGAAAUAUGCUUUUUUAUUAGAAUGUGAUGACGUAAUUACCACAUUUGCGUGAAUCAUUUAUAUUUUAUCACUUGAGUUACUUUUCACUUAUCUUUUUUGGCCUCUCUUAAUCUUUUCUGUUAAGUUAUGUUUUGGCUAUAAAUCUUUCAUUUGUCCUUAUUAACGCCAAGCUUUGACAUAGGAGCUUAUAGCUAUGAAGAAGCCUCAGUCGUGUAACCCGAAAUUAAUGUUACUGAUUUAUUGUCAAAAGCAAGAAAAAUGAGAAAGAAAUGUGG